AGUCGGAGGUAAGAAGCGGGUGACAAUCUCAAGGAAGAUUAUAUUAGCGGUGGCUGAACACCUAGCGAAGAACCAGCAGCAACCCAACUGAAAUGACGACCUGGAUCCCAUCGUCAACCAAAGUGUACAUUUUUCGGUGUUGAUAUCAUCUUAGUCAAUACCUCGAACAGUCUGUAAAAUUUUAUGUCAUAUUUUCUGUCCUAACUGAUGUUAUGGACGAUUUCUCAUCAAUUUUGGGAUUUUGUGUUAUUUUGUGUCAUCAAGGAAAAUUGUGUUUUUGGCAAGACCUA